CCCGCACAAGCGGUGGAGCAUGUGGUUUAAUUCGAUGCAACGCGAAGAACCUUACCUGGGCUUGACAUCCCGAGAAUCCCCUGGAAACAGGGAGUGCCUUUCGGGGAACUCGGAGACAGGUGCUGCAUGGCUGUCGUCAGCUCGUGUCGUGAGAUGUUGGGUUAAGUCCCGCAACGAGCGCAACCCUUGUCUUUAAUUGCCAGCAUUCAGUUGGGCACUUUAAAGAGACUGCCGGUGUUAAGCCGGAGGAAGGUGGGGAUGACGUCAAGUCCUCAUGGCCUUUAUGCCCAGGGCUACACACGUGCUACAAUGGGUGGUACAAAGAGAUGCCAACUCGCGAGAGCGCGCCAAUCUCAGAAAGCCAUCCUCAGUUCGGAUUGGAGUCUGCAACUCGACUCCAUGAAGUUGGAAUCGCUAGUAAUCGCGGAUCAGCACGCCGCGGUGAAUACGUUCCCGGGCCUU
rnacentral:rRNA from 1 species